UAAUACAGAGGGUGCGAGCGUUAAUCGGAAUUAUUGGGCGUAAAGGGCGCGUAGGCGGAGCGACAAGUGGUAGGUAAAAGACCUGGGCUUAACCUGGGGAUGUCCUAUCAGACUGUCGCUCUAGAAGGUGGUAGAGGAAGGCGGAAUUUCUGGUGUAGCGGUGAAAUGCGUAGAUAUCAGGAAGAACAUCGAUGGCGAAGGCAGCCUUCUGGGCCAUACUUGACGCUGAGGCGCGAAAGCGUGGGGAGCAAACAGGAUUAGAUACCCUGGUAGUCCACGCUGUAAACGAUGAAAACUAGAUGUUUGGUGAUUAAUUCACUGGGUAUCGCAGCUAACGCAUUAAGUUUUCCGCCUGGGGAGUACGGUCGCAAGACUA
rnacentral:rRNA from 1 species